UACGUAGGGUGCAAGCGUUGUCCGGAAUUAUUGGGCGUAAAGAGCUCGUAGGCGGUCUGUCGCGUCGGCUGUGAAAUCCCGGAGCUCAACUCCGGGUCUGCAGUCGGUACGGGCAAACUGGAGUACUGCAGGGGAGACUGGAAUUCCUGGUGUAGCGGUGAAAUGCGCAGAUAUCAGGAGGAACACCGGUGGCGAAGGCGGGUCUCUGGGCAGUAACUGACGCUGAGGAGCGAAAGCGUGGGGAGCGAACAGG
rnacentral:rRNA from 1 species